AAACCCUCGCUCUAUUUCAGAGAAUAGUGACGAGUUUGACUAACCUAUCUAGGUAGCCCCUGGGUUAUUAACUAACUCUACCCUAGAGUUCUUCCUGUUAAUUAGCCCAGCCUGGAGAGUCAAUGUCUUGUGCUAACUCUCACAAGAAAUCAAACUGCUGUCUGACCUUUUUCCUGUCAGCUCAUAGCACUCAACUCUCUCCCUGAAAACCUAGUUUCAAACUCUACACCUUCACACACCAGCUCUCAGCUCUCCACACUCUCUCACACACUCUUUCGCACUCCCCCUCUGAAGCUCUCUUUCUUCCCCUCUCUAAGACUUGGCUCCUUCCAACUCCUCUGGCCAAUCCUAGGAGUCUCCAAACUCAUUCCCUUUUCCAACCAUCCUCACUCAAGAUGGCUGCCUCCCUGGCAUUCUCUCCCAAAAUGGAGGCCUGCCAUACUGUUAUCCAGGCUCCCUUUCCGGCCUACCAGGAGAAAUAUACCUUUUUCCUAUACUACUAGCUCUGGAAUCACAGCACGGGCUCCGAAAGUCAAGCUGCGUUCUUUCAAGCUGCAGCUUCCCUCUCUUGAAACUAACAGGAACAGACAGAAGAUGAGCGAUUGCAGACUCCAGAACUGAUGUGUAUAACGAGGUUAAAAUCUCUUUGGCAAAAUUUUUCAUUCAACUCUGCUAAGUGAAUACUGAAUGAAUAAACAAGAAUAAAGCUCCUUACAAAUAA